AUUGAACGCUGGCGGCAGGCUUAACACAUGCAAGUCGAGCGGGGGAAGGUAGCUUGCUACCGGACCUAGCGGCGGACGGGUGAGUAAUGCUUAGGAAUCUGCCUAUUAGUGGGGGACAACAUCUCGAAAGGGAUGCUAAUACCGCAUACGUCCUACGGGAGAAAGCAGGGGAUCUUCGGACCUUGCGCUAAUAGAUGAGCCUAAGUCGGAUUAGCUAGUUGGUGGGGUAAAGGCCUACCAAGGCGACGAUCUGUAGCGGGCCUGAGAGGAUGUACCGCCAAACUGGGAACGAGACACGGCCCAGACUCCCACGGGAGGCAGCAGUGGGGAAUAUUGGACAAUGGGGGGAACCCUGAUCCAGCCAUGCCGCGUGUGUGAAGAAGGCCUUAUGGUUGUAAAGCACUUUAAGCGAGGAGGAGGCUACUUUAGUUAAUACCUAGAGAUAGUGGACGUUACUCGCAGAAUAAGCACCGGCUAACUCUGUGCCAGCCGCCGCAGUAA
rnacentral:rRNA from 1 species